UAGCAGGGGGUGACAAACGUUGCUCGGAAUUAUUGGGCGUAAAGCGCGCGUAGGCGGCUACUUAAGUCGGAUGUGAAAAGCCCUUGGCUCAACUGAGGAAGUGCGCCCGAAAACUGCAGAGCUUGAGUGCCGGAGAGGGUGGCGGAAUUCCCCAAGUAGAGGUGAAAUUCGUAGAUAUCGGGAGGAACACCGGUGGCGAAGGCGGCGACCUGGGUCGACACUGACGCUGAGGCGCGAAAGCGUGGGGGAGCAAAACAGG
rnacentral:rRNA from 1 species